GCCAGACUCCUACGGGAGGCAGCAGUGGGGGAUAUUGCACAAUGGGGGGAACCCUGACGCAGCGACGCCGCGUGAGUGAAGGAGCGUUUCGGCGCGUAAAGCCCUCUCGGCAGGGAAGAAGGAGGACGGUACCUGACCAAGAAGCCCCGGCUAACUACGUGCCAGCAGCCGCGGGAAUACGUAGGGGGCAAGCGUUAUCCGGAUUCACUGGGCGUAAAGGGAGCGCAGGCGGCACGGCAAGUCUGGUGUGAAAGCCCGGGGCCCAACCCUGGGACUGCAUUGGAAACUGCCGGGCUGGAGUGCCGGAGGGGCAAGCGGAAUUCCUGGUGUAGCGGUGAAAUGCGCAGAUAUCAGGAAGAACACCGGUGGCGCAGGCGGCUUGCUGGACGGCAACUGACGCUGAGGCUCGAAAGCGUGGGGAGCAAACAGGAUUAGAUACCCCUGUA
rnacentral:rRNA from 1 species